GAUCAAACCGGUUUCGAUCUUAUAUUUCAAUAUAAAAACUAAUAAACCUUCUGUCGCCUUAAACAUUCACCAUUGUACUUGCACACAAGGCACGUUGUGACACAGAGCCCUUUCCGAAAAAACAACUACUUGGUACACAGUUGUAUUUUUUUUAAUUACUACUCAACUCCAAAACUGUAAUCAAGAUGCCCAAAAGAAAGGCUGAUGGAGCCAAGAGCAAGGAGGAGCCUUCCAGACGCUCUGCACGGUUGUCAGCUAAACCUACAGCUGCCAAACCAGCCCCGAAGCCGAAGAAGGACAAAGCUGCACCAAAGCCCAAAGGAAAGAAGAGCCCAGCUGAGAACGGGGAUACCAAGUCAGACCAGGCACCAAAAGUUGAGGCAACUGGCGACGCCAAAUAAGGAACGGUUUAUCUUGCUGUGUACUUGGUGACUGUACAGUUUAAAAUAAGUAUUUUUUACCAAGUUUUAUAUUAAAUUUAAAUAUCAUUUAUAGUUCAUUGUGGGCUUACACUUGAUGUAUAAAAGCUGUUCCGGGGUGGUGGGGGGGUUCAUCCAUAUCCAUGUUCAUAAAAUGACUUCCGUCCAUUUUAACUAAUCCCGUUUUUUUAACUGCUGAAUAUCAUAAAUAUUUUCCUACAUUUUGGAUUUUAAAUUUACUUUUAAAACCAAAAUAGCAUCAUAAGGCAGCUAAAGUGUGUUUCUAAAAUGUUUAAGGGGAGAAGGGGUUUUGCCACUCUCUCUUAUAGUUUUUUAUAUGUAAUAUUAAUAUUCUAAUUCAAACCAAAAUGAUUUAGAAAACUACCAACAUGAGAUCUUGACAUUUAGAAACAGUUAAAAGAUUAUCAGUAAUUCACAUUUUAGGUCAACAGUCCAAAUCCAACCCAGAUAAAAUGUAUAAUGUGAACGUAAUCAUUUGUUAAAUCUGAUGAAAAUGUUCUGUUGUUUGUUUUAUUAAAUAAUGUUCUGUAAAAGAAGGAAGCUUUGAAUUCAAAUGUUAUGUAUGUUCUUGAAUAAAAUGAUCCAAAAACA